CCGGGCAACUAGCUCUCUGCUACUCUCAUAUGGUUUCCCACUGAAGCUAAGCAAGGCUGUGCCCGGUCAGUACCUGGAUGGGAGAACACAUGGGAAAGCUAGGUUGCUGCCAGAA
rnacentral:rRNA from 1 species